AUGAACGCUAGCGACAGGCUUAACACAUGCAAGUCGAGGGGCAUCAUGAGGUAGCAAUACCUUGAUGGCGACCGGCGCACGGGUGAGUAACGCGUAUGCAACCUGCCUGAUACCGGGGUAUAGCCCAUGGAAACGUGGAUUAACACCCCAUAGUACUUUUAUCCUGCAUGGGAUGUGAGUUAAAUGUUUAAGGUAUCGGAUGGGCAUGCGUCCUAUUAGUUAGUUGGCGGGGUAACAGCCCACCAAGACGAUGAUAGGUAGGGGUUCUGAGAGGAAGGUCCCCCACAUUGGAACUGAGACACGGUCCAAACUCCUACGGGAGGCAGCAGUGAGGAAUAUUGGUCAAUGGACGAGAGUCUGAACCAGCCAAGUCGCGUGAGGGAAGACUGCCCUAUGGGUUGUAAACCUCUUUUAUAAGGGAAGAAUAAGUUCUACGUGUAGAAUGAUGCCUGUACCUUAUGAAUAAGCAUCGGCUAACUCCGUGCCAGCAGCCGCGGUAAUACGGAGGAUGCGAGCGUUAUCCGGAUUUAUUGGGUUUAAAGGGUGCGUAGGCGGUUUAUUAAGUUAGUGGUUAAAUAUUUGAGCUAAACUCAAUUGUGCCAUUAAUACUGGUAAACUGGAGUACAGACGAGUAGGCGGAAUAAGUUAAGUAGCGGUGAAAUGCAUAGAUAUAACUUAGAACUCCGAUAGCGAAGGCAGCUUACCAGACUGUAACUGACGCUGAUGCACGAGAGCGUGGGUAGCGAACAGGAUUAGAUACCCUGGUAGUCCACGCCGUAAACGAUGCUCACUGGUUCUGUGCGAUAUAUUGUACGGGAUUAAGCGAAAGUAUUAAGUGAGCCACCUGGGGAGUACGUCGGCAACGAUGAAACUCAAAGGAAUUGACGGGGGCCCGCACAAGCGGUGGAGCAUGUGGUUUAAUUCGAAGCAACGCGAAGAACCUUACCAAGUCUUGACAUCCGAUGCAUAGCACAGAGAUGUGUGAAAUCCUUCGGGACAUCGAGACAGGUGGUGCAUGGUUGUCGUCAGCUCGUGCCGUGAGGUGUCGGGUUAAGUCCCAUAACGAGCGCAACCCUUACCGUUAGUUGCUAGCAUGUAAUGAUGAGCACUCUAACGGGACUGCCACCGUAAGGUGAGAGGAAGGCGGGGAUGACGUCAAAUCAGCACGGCCCUUACACCCAGGGCUACACACGUGUUACAAUGGCCGGUACAGAGGGCCGCUACCAGGUGACUGGAUGCCAAUCUCAAAAGCCGGUCGUAGUUCGGAUUGGAGUCUGUAACCCGACUCCAUGAAGUUGGAUUCGCUAGUAAUCGCGCAUCAGCCAUGGCGCGGUGAAUACGUUCCCGGGCCUUGUACACACCGCCCGUCAAGCCAUGGAAGCCGGGGGUGCCUGAAGUCCGUAACCGCGAGGAUCGGCCUAGGGCAAAACUGGUAACUGGGGCU
rnacentral:rRNA from 1 species